GUACACGCUGUGACUAGCAUAUCAAUAAGCGGAGGAAAAGCGUAUUAAAGAUCAGGUACCUACGCUUAGGAUGUUGACGAGACUGUCGAUCUCAUCUAUACACGCUGUGACUAGCAUAUCAAUAAGCGGAGGAAAAGAAACUAACAAGGAUUCCCCUAGUAACGGCGAGUGAAGCGGGAAGAGCUCAAAUUUGAAAUCUUAAAGGGUUUCCCUUUACGAAUUGUAGUUUAAAGAAGUGUUUUCUGUUGAGGUUUUGGUAAAAGUUCUUUGGAAUAGGACAUCAUAGAGGGUGAGAAUCCCGUAUUUGACCUUUACUUUCAACUUUGUGAUACACUUUCAAAGAGUCGGAUUGUUUGGGAAUGCAGUCCAAAAUGGGUGGUAAAUUUCAUCUAAAGCUAAAUAUUGGCGAGAGACCGAUAGCGAACAAGUACCGUGAGGGAAAGAUGAAAAGAACUUUGAAAAGAGAGUUAAACAGUACGUGAAAUUGUCAAAAGGGAAGCGUUUGACACCAGUGUUGUUUUUCUGAAAAUCAAUUAAAGAACUGUUUAUGCUAAGCUGUUUAGACUUUAUCAGCUAUACUGUUUAGUUUUGAGCUUUUCUUUAAUGCACUUUUCAGUUAACAAGUCAACAUCAAUUUCUUUUGCUGUAAAAAAGCUUGAGGAAGGUGGCUUGAGAUUCGUCUUAAGUGUUUAUAGCCUCUUGCCUAUGCAGUCGGAGAGAUUGAGGUCUGCAGCGUAGAUCCUUCGGGGCUAAAUGCAUUUGUGCUAAGUUAUAGCAUUUCAUAGACAACUUGUUGACUAUGAUUUGCCUUGUAGCUUACUCGCUUAUGUUAUUUUACCUACGCUUAGGAUGUUGACGAGACUGUCGAUCUC
rnacentral:rRNA from 1 species